GAAGAACUGCACAGACGUCUCUGCAGCCCUGUGACUCAGGAGCAGCUGCCAAGGGUAGUCACUUGAUAGGACUGGAAAUAGAAUGUAAAGCCUGGAUUAAUUCCACCUGAAAGGCUACCUAGAGGGAAUUUGUUCUGCUUGGGGCCUUGUCUUCUCCUAAAGUCUUCUGAGCCUCACAAAUCCUAGCAUGUGCCUCAUUGCUACUGAGAAUAGAAUCCUAGAAUUGUACUCUCUGGAUUUCCCCAAAGGAAUCAUUUUAGGCUCAGAUUAGGCCCUUUGAGGGUUUGAUCUUUGUAUAUCCCUCCUUAAGUCUCCAGUUCUUAGGGGCUCCUGAAAGGUUUUUCUUGAUGUAAUAUUCAGCGCUGCCUUUUCUGCACCCAGAUUGGAAGAGGUCACUUGGAACCAGAUCAUUGUAAAUCUUGGGUUUUCUUUCCAGGCAUGUUUUCAUAGGUCCCCAACUUUUUCUAUACAUGCAACAAGUCAUGUCUGAUUUUGAUAUGAUAGGAUCAAGAGCAGCUCACAAUCAAUACAAAGGAAAUAAGCAAGAAGGCCAUUCAUAGAAACAAUCUUAAAUUAAGUUCUCAGAGACAAGAUUUCCACUCUUUUUUUUCACCGAAAAUAUUAUUUUAACAAUUAUUUUAAUCCAUCUUUACAAUCACACCAUGUGAGACUUUAGUGUUUCUGUUACCAACCUAAUUCAGAUGAAUUAUUUAAAUAUUUAGAUGUAAAAAGCCCUAUGGAGUGGUGUCUGGGGGAUUAGAAUUCUUAUUUGUCAUUUGCUAAAUGCAGUGUCGAACAGUAAUUUAAGAUAAAUGCCUGGGAAGACAGCACUGCAGUCAUGGGGGUAUUUUUAGAAGUGUUGAAUUAAAUUUCAUAUUCUCAACACUUCUGUGAUCUUUACAGGAAGCAUGAGCAUGUGAAAGACAUGAUGUGGACAGAGCUGAGAUUUUAGAAGCUAAAGCACAGUGUGAUAUCAUCAAGGGAAUUUGCAUGAUGAAAAGUGUUAAUAACUAGAAAAUUCAUCAGCAGGAAUGUGUCAAGAUAUAGGAUAAUACCCACACUUCUGAAACUAUAGGGUAAAUCAAAUUAAUAUUUUCCACUUAAAAUAUGACUACCGUGGGGCUGGGGGGCAUGCAUAUACACAGGAGCACAUUUUCAGGUCAAAGGACUAC